UUCCGGUUGAUCCUGCCGGACCCGACUGCUAUCGGAUUGAGAUUUAGCCAUGCGAGUCGAACGCUUCCCUGUUGCGGGAGGCGUGGCGUACGGCUCAGUAACACGUAGUCAACCUGCCCUGAAGACACGCAUAACCCCGGGAAACUGGGAUUAAUUCGUGAUAGGCCAUCUCAUCUGGAAGGAGAGAUGACUUAAAGGGGUGCGAGGGCUUCUUUCUUGUAUCCGCUUCAGGAUGGGACUGCGGCCGAUCAGGCUGUUGGUGGGGUAAUGGCCCACCAAACCUGUAACCGGUACGGGCCUUGAGAGAGGGGGCCCGGAGAUGGACACUGAGAGAAGGGUCCAGGUCCUACGGGGCGCAGCAGGCGCGAAACCUUCACAAUGCGCGAAAGCGUGAUGAGGUUAAUCCGAGUGGUCCCCGCUGAGGGGAUCUUUUGUCGGCUGUAAAAAGGCCGGUGAAUAAGGGGAGGGCAAGUCUGGUGUCAGCCGCCGCGGUAAUACCAGCUCCUCGAGUGGUCGGGGCGAUUAUUGGGCCUAAAGCAUCCGUAGCCUGUUCUGCAGGUCCACUGUUAAAUCCAACGGCUUAACCGUUGGCCCGCAGUGGGUACCACAGGACUAGGAGGCGGGAGAGGUGGACGGUACUCCACGUGUAGGGGUAAAAUCCUUUGAUCCGUGGAAGACCACCAGUGGCGAAAGCGGUCCACCAGAACGCGCUCGACGGUGAGGGAUGAAAGCUGGGGGAGCGAACCGGAUUAGAUACCCGGGUAGUCCCAGCCGUAAACGAUGCGAGCUAGAUGAUCCGGUCGCAAAUCGCGAUCGGAGUGUCGCAGGAAGCCGUU
rnacentral:rRNA from 1 species